rnacentral:rRNA from 1 species
UGCAAGUCGAGCGAAUCUGAGGGAGCUUGCUCCCAAAGAUUAGCGGCGGACGGGUGAGUAACACGUGGGCAACCUGCCUGUAAGACUGGGAUAACUUCGGGAAACCGGAGCUAAUACCGGAUAAUCCUUUUCUACUCAUGUAGAAAAGCUGAAAGAUGGCUUCGGCUAUCACUUACAGAUGGGCCCGCGGCGCAUUAGCUAGUUGGUGAGGUAACGGCUCACCAAGGCGACGAUGCGUAGCCGACCUGAGAGGGUGAUCGGCCACACUGGGACUGAGACACGGCCCAGACUCCUACGGGAGGCAGCAGUAGGGAAUCUUCCGCAAUGGACGAAAGUCUGACGGAGCAACGCCGCGUGAGUGAUGAAGGUUUUCGGAUCGUAAAACUCUGUUGUUAGGGAAGAACAAGUACCGUUCGAAUAGGGCGGUACCUUGACGGUACCUAACCAGAAAGCCACGGCUAACUACGUGCCAGCAGCCGCGGUAAUACGUAGGUGGCAAGCGUUGUCCGGAAUUAUUGGGCGUAAAGCGCGCGCAGGUGGUUUCUUAAGUCUGAUGUGAAAGCCCCCGGCUCAACCGGGGAGGGUCAUUGGAAACUGGGAGACUUGAGUGCAGAAGAGGAAAGUGGAAUUCCAAGUGUAGCGGUGAAAUGCGUAGAGAUUUGGAGGAACACCAGUGGCGAAGGCGACUUUCUGGUCUGUAACUGACACUGAGGCGCGAAAGCGUGGGGAGCGAACAGGAUUAGAUACCCUGGUAGUCCACGCCGUAAACGAUGAGUGCUAAGUGUUAGAGGGUUUCCGCCCUUUAGUGCUGCAGCAAACGCAUUAAGCACUCCGCCUGGGGAGUACGGCCGCAAGGCUGAAACUCAAAGGAAUUGACGGGGGCCCGCACAAGCGGUGGAGCAUGUGGUUUAAUUCGAAGCAACGCGAAGAACCUUACCAGGUCUUGACAUCCUCUGACAAUCCUAGAGAUAGGACGUUCCCCUUCGGGGGACAGAGUGACAGGUGGUGCAUGGUUGUCGUCAGCUCGUGUCGUGAGAUGUUGGGUUAAGUCCCGCAACGAGCGCAACCCUUGAUCUUAGUUGCCAGCAUUCAGUUGGGCACUCUAAGGUGACUGCCGGUGACAAACCGGAGGAAGGUGGGGAUGACGUCAAAUCAUCAUGCCCCUUAUGACCUGGGCUACACACGUGCUACAAUGGAUGGUACAAAGGGCUGCAAGACCGCGAGGUUUAGCCAAUCCCAUAAAACCAUUCUCAGUUCGGAUUGCAGGCUGCAACUCGCCUGCAUGAAGCCGGAAUCGCUAGUAAUCGCGGAUCAGCAUGCCGCGGUGAAUACGUUCCCGGGCCUUGUACACACCGCCCGUCACACCACGAGAGUUUGUAACACCCGAAGUCGGUGGGGUAACCGCAAGGAGCCAGCCGCCUAAGGUG